CACGUAGGAGGCAAGCGUUAUCCGGAAUUACUGGGUGUAAAGGGAGAGUAGGCGGCAAGGUAAGCGAUAUGUGAAAGCCUUAGGCUUAACCUGAGGAUUGCAUAACGAACUAUCUAGCUAGAGUACAGGAGAGGAAAGCGGAAUUCCUAGUGUAGCGGUGAAAUGCGUAGAUAUUAGGAAAAACACCAGUGGCGAAGGCGGCUUUCUGGACUGAAACUGACGCUGAGGCUCGAAAGCGUGGGGAGCGAACAGG
rnacentral:rRNA from 1 species